rnacentral:rRNA from 1 species
AACGAACGCUGGCGGCAUGCCUGACACAUGCAAGUCGAACGAAGCCUUCGGGCUUAGUGGCGCACGGGUGCGUAACGCGUGGGAAUCUGCCUCUUGCUUCGGAAUAACAGUUAGAAAUGACUGCUAAUACCGGAUGAUGUCUUCGGACCAAGAUUUAUCGGCAAGAGAUGAGCCCGCGUAGGAUUAGGUAGUUGGUGGGGUAAAGGCCUACCAAGCCGACGAUCCUUAGCUGGUCUGAGAGGAUGAUCAGCCACACUGGGACUGAGACACGGCCCAGACUCCUACGGGAGGCAGCAGUGGGGAAUAUUGGACAAUGGGGGAAACCCUGAUCCAGCAAUGCCGCGUGAGUGAUGAAGGCCUUAGGGUUGUAAAGCUCUUUUACCAGGGAUGAUAAUGACAGUACCUGGAGAAUAAGCUCCGGCUAACUCCGUGCCAGCAGCCGCCGUAAUAC